rnacentral:rRNA from 1 species
GGAAUCUUAGACAAUGGGCGAAAGCCUGAUCUAGCCAUGCCGCGUGUGUGAUGAAGGCCCUAGGGUCGUAAAGCACUUUCGCUGGGGAAGAUAAUGAUCGUACCCAGUAAAGAAACCCCGGCUAACUCCGUGCCUGCAGCCGCGGUAAUACGGAGGGGGUUAGCGUUGUUCGGAAUUACUGGGCGUAGAGCGCGCGUAGGCGGAUUAGAAAGUAUGGGGUGAAAUCCCGGGGCUCAACCUCGGAACUGCCUCAUAAACUACUAGUCUAGAGUUCGAGAGAGGUGAGUGGAAUUCCGAGUGUAGAGGUGAAAUUCGUAGAUAUUCGGAGGAACACCAGUGGCGAAGACGGCUCACUGGCUCGAUACUGACGCUGAGGUGCGAAAGUGCGGGGAGCA